AGGGAUCUCACUUGGAUACUGAGCUGCCAUGGGCUCAGAUUGGGCUGAGCUGGUUGGCUAGGAAGGUGUCCCCUUCCUCCCUCACCACUUCUUUGCCCACUUGGUCAAAGAAGAGGAUGACCUUCCCUGAAUAGAGAAGAGCCAGUCUUCAGUCUAGAGUAUAAGAGUAGCUGCGCUCCCCUGCAAGAACCUAUAAAAGGAGGUCAAGGUCCAUUUGUAUACAUUUUUAAAAUGUAUUUGUAUUGAAAUAUAAAAUCAUUUUAUCUCAUUCCAUUU
rnacentral:snRNA from 1 species